GCUGUGAUAAAGGCAUAUCCACGUGGUGGGUGAGAUUAUCAAACCCUAAGAAGAAUCUUCUUCGAUAGUUUACUUGGAAAGGAGGAAAACAGUGUGAAUGAGUUCGCACGGUGUGCUACGAAAUCGCCACCCAUAAAAACCCCACCGACCUAUUCCCUUUCCUUCUCAGGCGUCUUUGUUUAUCAUACUUUCCCUCCGCCGCCUCUUCUAGUUAGCGUUUCUCCUUCCAAUUUUUAAACCUCAUAUCUGGAAAUUCUAAUCGGGAAAAAAAUGCAAUAAUAAUUUUUUUUUGAGAAAAAUAGGAAUAUCGCUGUUUCAGAGAAAAAUGUAUAGUAUGAACGGUAACUGCAGUGCUUGGUAUGCAUAAAUUUUAAAUAGUUGCACGAGUAGCAAGUGACCUUUUCACAUUUUAAAUAGUUGCACGAGUAGCAAGUGACCUUUUCACCUUUUCACUUAAGUUGUUGUGUAUCAGCUUAUAUAGCAGCACACCCAGGGCUUGAAACUUAAAGAAAGCUCUGUCUUUCUCCUUCCUUAUCAUAUAUAUAUCAUUAUCAGCAAUAUUGAGCUAAUGACCGACUAAAGACUUUUACGCUAUACUAUUAAUCUAUGGAUGAAAAUGGUAAUAAAUGGAUAAAUUUUCUUUGGCAUUAAUAUUAUUCUUAUAUUCUUGGAGAUGGGAUUUUUGCCAAUUUCAUCUGAAAGCCGAAGUGUUUUGAUUGAUUGAUUUCUAUUGACUAAUUUAUUAUUUGUUAUGUCAACUUUAUAAUGACGUGUACAUGAUCCUUUACAUUAGUCCCUUAUACUCAUAUUUUUUAAA